AACGUUUAACAGAAACCGACAAAGAUUCAAUUUUUCGCGGCGGGUGUGAGAACUGAAUUUCAACUUCUUUCAUGCAAGCUGACGUCAUCAUGGGCUAACGCAUGCUCGGAAGAUCUCAAAUAUAUCAUCAACUUCAAAAAGGUAAAGAAAAUUUCCUGAUGUUCGAGUGUUUAAGAAGACCAGCUAGGACAUCAAUCAACUAAGGUCCACUGAACGUAUCGGUUCGCUUGUCGUUUAUGUUCGUUAUACGAACACUUCUU